GUACCUGUAGCGCUAUGGAUAGCGCGUUGGACUUCUAAUCCAAAAAGGUCGUGGGUUCGAAUCCCACCUGAGAUG